rnacentral:rRNA from 1 species
UACGUAGGGUGCAAGCGUUAAUCGGAAUUACUGGGCGUAAAGCGUGCGCAGGCGGCUUUGCAAGACAGAUGUGAAAUCCCCGGGCUUAACCUGGGAACUGCAUUUGUGACUGCAGGGCUGGAGUGCGGCAGAGGGGGAUGGAAUUCCGCGUGUAGCAGUGAAAUGCGUAGAUAUGCGGAGGAACACCGAUGGCGAAGGCAGCCUCCUGGGCCAACACUGACGCUCAUGCACGAAAGCGUGGGGAGCAAACAGG